GACAGAAGAUCGUUUUACAUUUCCAUCUACAAGUUUUGGGCAAUCUCUGGGGAAUCUGUGGCUUUUUUUGAAAGCAUCUCCUUGAGCCUUUGACGUGGCCACUGAGACUUAUAUGUGGACUCUGGGGGAGGAUUCCAGCUCUUUAGUGAGCCAUUCAGGGUCAUAUAUGAGAAAAACAUGGGUAUUAUGUGAUAAAGAGGGGCUACAGUCUGCAGCUGGGUCUCCAGGAGAGUCUGGGUACUCAAACACAACCAGCUGCAGCAUGUGCUCCAGCCCUGUGUGUCAGUGCAGCUGAGCACAGCACAGGCUGUGCAGUUUGGGGAGCCUGGGCUGGUCUUGCCUCUCUUUGCCUGACAUCUCACAAACAGCCAUGAAUUUUUGAAAAGGGCUCUGGCUUGCUCUGCCAGUACUCCUUAAUUUUGCUUUUCCUCCUUGCAAGCCACACUGAAGCAGUGAUUUGCUAUUCUCUGGGAGAAGAGGAAAAAGAAAAAAGUAGGUCAUGGUGUCACCUAAGGCAGCCGGGUGUUAAUAUGGAGCCAGAAGAGCAGAGCAAAAAAAGCCCUGUCUGAGUGAAGAUGAAUGACCAGCUGUGUGGGAUAAACAGGGACGAAGGAACCGAUGAGGGAGCGCCCUGGGAAGCGCAGGUGGAGGCGCCCAGGGCCCCCCGUCCUUCCCGCUCCCGGCAGAUGGGAGCUCGCAGGGCUGGGGGCUCCUGCUGCCGCUGCGGCUGGUCAAUGCGCCCUCUCCUGGCGCAGGAUUAAUAUGAAAAAGGAGGGGAUAUUAUGCCCUCCAGCUCUUUUGACUGUCACCCAGCGUUACUCACUGGCCUGGAAUAGAGAUGUUUGGAAGAGGGACCCGAGCCUGGCCUUAUCUCUUGAGGCAGGAUUACAAGCCAUUCAUGUUUAAGGACAGAUUCAGGUAACAAACGGGGCUGGUGGAACAGAAUUGGGCAGCCUCCUAGUGUCAACAUCUGCUGCCUGAGCUGCAUGGAAACUAGUGCUAAAGUCAUGUGUCUACAAGAUUCUUUAAAUCUCCAUCUUUUCCUGUUUCUCUGCCAACUUACUUCUGUGAAUGCUUGGAAAUGCUGGUGAGUGGGGGAAGCAGCAGUCUCCAGUCUAACUGGGGUUUUCUCCUGCUGCUGGCUCUGUGGAAGAGAUUUUAAGGUUAGUUUGAAAAUAGCUUUGCCUAGAAAGAGCAGGGUUCAGGAGGAUGGCAUUAACUAAUGUGCACAGGCCAGAGAUUUGCAGCCAGUUGCUCCUGCAGGCAGCUUGUAUCUGGUGGUUCAGCUGAACCAUGGCAUGUGGAAAGAUCUCCUGUUUGGAGUGAGAAUCUCAUACAAUCAGCAGUGCCAAAGAGCAAUUACCCUUUCCCUGUUAAAACUAAGUGUCCUGUUUACUGUUUGAACUGGCUGACUUGAAAUUCUAACUUUAGUCUGUGCUUUUAAAAGGUCUUGAAUACUGUGCAGGCUUUAACAAGUCUCGAUGAUGACCCUAGAAUGCUGCUUGGUAAAUAGGAUUAUUCUUGCUUCUGCAAAGAGGGCACAAGAGGUGAGGGGAUGUGGCUGUCCAUCUCCGUCCCCGUGUUGGCGUUCCUGGCUUCUGCUGCCAUGCUUGAAGAAUGUGAGAACUUUGUGCCUCUCCUCACAAUGGCGCUGCUUGUCCUUGAGUUACCAGUCUGAUUUAUUAGAGGAAACUGAAUCAGCACAUGGUGCUCACCUAUGUAGGCUACUGCUGCUUCUCCUACACAGUAGGUGUGAGCUUGGAAAAUAGUUUGGAGGAGAAGCAUAAAGUGGACUUUGUUGAAAUGCACCAACUCACCUGGAGUUUCCAGAACCUGUGAGUGUAUUUGGCAAGCAAAAUAUCCCAACUUUUAACUUGUAGUAUUUGGAAGCACAGCAUGGUUAUGUGAGCAUGCCCUCAUGGGGCUGGGAGAUGGAAAUGGCGUUUGGGGUAGUGUGCGGAGUGAGGGGAGUCUUUGGAACCAGCAAUAGAUGAAAUUAUAUCAAAGCAUAAGUGGUGGUCAUACUGCUUGCGCAAAGGUUUUCAGGUCUUGUAUUGGCUCUCCCUAAUUAUUUCCAAGGUUAUAAAUCCAAUCAGGAUACUGAAAGGGGUUCACCCAAGAGCAAGAACUGUUAUUUAGUGUUCCUCCUAGUACCUUCAAUUAUUAAUCAAACGUUUAAAAUAUUGGCUGAUGCCACUUUUUAUUUCUAAUCUUCUGUUCCCAGUGAUCAGAAGGUAUCUUGGUAUGCAGGGUUUCAGCAUUUCUGAGAGUUCUUAUGCUAAAUCAGCUCUUUACUCAUUUAUUUCUUCCCUUACUCUUUAAAUGUUAGCAGUUGUGACAAAGCCUGCUGUUGACUGUUGGAUUGGAUUCUAAAUACUGACUCACAUCCAAAUUUUGCAAUUGGUUCCAUUUGUUACAAUGGGUGGAACUAAUUCUCUGAAUCCAAGUGCAAUUAGAUGAAUCUAGAUCAUAAUUCUGGGCAUUGCAACCAAAAAUUAUGAAGUUUAUUUUGCUUUAUCUUCUUGUUCUAUUGAAUAACAGUAGUCCAGGACUAGCCUUUCCUGUUCAAAAUCUAUUAUGAGCCACCUCAAAGGUGAUUGAAGCCUGUAAAGAAAGAGCACGACCACCUGUGAGGCAACAGCAUGUCUUCACAAGUUUGCGGAACCAAAGUGGUGGAGGAAGGUGGAAAUAAAUGCCUUGGAGAACUUGCAAACAAUCCUCUUUUAUUUUUUUGCCUAAUACCCUGGCUUUUGUAUUUUAACCCACAUCAGAUUGUUUUGAUUAGCAGUUUUGACUCUUGCCGUUGUGAAGUGCACAGCAAUGGUCUAGAGGAAAAAUGCACAAAACAGUUUCACCAUUGCUUUGUCCUGCUAGUGUGAUGCAGGACCUGUGUAGUACCUCAUCAGCAUUGUAAAGAUGCUGGGACUAGUAAUUUUAUGCUGGUGUGGGGAGAACAAAUGGCUUCUCAUUCUCUGUAAUGACUACUGAGAGAUGCUCCUCUGUCAACAACUCCAGUACAAAGCAGAGAACAAUGCUGCUGCCUCUGUAGUAUGGAAAAGAACUCUGUUUCAGUAGCAUCACUCUGUUCCAGUGUGAAGCUGAAAUUUUGAGUAUCUUAGAACUUUUAGGUUUGUUACUGUUGUGCUAAAAUAAAAACCUGUGCUCAAUGAGUGA